rnacentral:rRNA from 1 species
GAUGAACGCUAGCUACAGGCUUAACACAUGCAAGUCGAGGGGCAGCAGGAGCAAAGCUUGCUUUGCUUGCUGGCGACCGGCGCACGGGUGCGUAACGCGUAUCGAACCUGCCCUAUACUCGGGGAUAGCCUUGCGAAAGUAAGAUUAAUACCCGAUGUUGUUAUUCCAUCGCAUGAUGUUUUAACCAAAGAUUUAUCGGUAUAGGAUGGCGAUGCGUGACAUUAGGUAGUAGGUGAGGUAACGGCUCACCUAGCCUACGAUGUCUAGGGGUUCUGAGAGGAAGGUCCCCCCACACUGGAACUGAGACACGGUCCAGACUCCUACGGGAGGCAGCAGUGGGGGAUAUUGGACAAUGGGGGAAACCCUGAUCCAGCGACGCCGCGUGAGUGAAGAAGUAUUUCGGUAUGUAAAGCUCUAUCAGCAGGGAAGAAAAAUAACCAAAUUGACUGUACCUGACUAAGAAGCCCCGGCUAACUACGUGCCAGCAG